CACGGCCACCGUGGGACCCAGGCCUGAGGGGACAGCGAGGACAUGGUGACACCGUGGGGACACGGCAGUGACACCGUGGGGACACGGCCACCGUGGGACCCAGGCCUGAGGGGACAGCAGGGACACACGGCCGUUGUGGCACACGGCAGUGGCAGCAGUCGAUGGCAUCGCUGUGACCCUGUUGGUGGCAGGGGACAGUGGCAGCGUCCUGGUGCCAUCGCCAUGGCAGCGUUGGUGACAAAGGGGACAGCGACAGCAGCCGGUGGCAUCGAUGGCAUUGCUGUGACAGCGUUGGUGACAGGGGAGAGCAGCCGGUGUCACACCCUGUGGCUGUGUUGGUGACAGUGACAGCAGCCGGUGUCACACAGUGUGACCGUGUUGGUGACAAUGACAGCAGCCGGUGUCACACGGUGUGACCGUGUUGGUGACAGUGACAGCAGCCAGUGUCACACCCUGUGGCUAUGUUGAGGACAGUGACAGCAGCUGAUGUCACACAGUGUGACCAUGUUGGUGACAGUGACAGCAGCCGGUGUCACACCCUGUGGCUGUGUGGGGGACAGUGACAGCAGCCGGUGUCACACAGUGUGACCGUGUUGGUGCCAGUGACAGCAGCCGGUGUCACUCACUGUGGCAGUGUUGGUGACAAAGGGGACAAUGACAGCAGCCGGUGUCACUCGCUGUGGCUGUGUGGGUGACAGCGUUG